AUGCUAGAGCACUUUUUCAAUGGGCUCCCCAACGACAAGGCGAUGAAGCAUUCGUUUGUCAUCCAUAUCAACUUUCGAUGCCACUUUCUGCACCUACCAUGGUGACCAUGAGUAACGGGGAAUCAGGGUUCGAUUCCGGAGAGGGUGCCUGAGAAACGGCUACCACAUGCAAGGAAGGCAGCA